ACACUCCUACGGGAGGCAGCAGUGGGGAAUAUUGCACAAUGGGCGCAAGCCUGAUGCAGCCAUGCCGCGUGUAUGAAGAAGGCCUUCGGGUUGUAAAGUACUUUCAGCGGGGAGGAAGGCGAUAAGGUUAAUAACCUUGUCGAUUGACGUUACCCGCAGAAGAAGCACCGGCUAACUCCGUGCCAGCAGCCGCGGUAAUACGGAGGGUGCAAGCGUUAAUCGGAAUUACUGGGCGUAAAGCGCACGCAGGCGGUCUGUCAAGUCGGAUGUGAAAUCCCCGGGCUCAACCUGGGAACUGCAUUCGAAACUGGCAGGCUAGAGUCUUGUAGAGGGGGGUAGAAUUCCAGGUGUAGCGGUGAAAUGCGUAGAGAUCUGGAGGAAUACCGGUGGCGAAGGCGGCCCCCUGGACAAAGACUGACGCUCAGGUGCGAAAGCGUGGGGAGCAAACAGGAUUAGAAACCCCGGUAGUCCCA
rnacentral:rRNA from 1 species